GAUGAACGCUGACAGAAUGCUUAACACAUGCAAGUCAACUGUGGCGGACGGGUGAGUAACGCGUAAAGAACUUGCCUCACAGAUAGGGACAACAUUUGGAAACGAAUGCUAAUACCUGAUACUGUGAGAGGGCUUUGCGUCCCAUUAGCUAGUUGGAGAGGUAACGGCUCACCAAGGCGAUGAUGGGUAGCCGGCCUGAGAGGGUGAUCGGCCACAAGUGGACAGAGACACGGCCCUUACGACUACUGGGGGAAGCAGGUGGGACUAUUGGACAAUGGACCAAAGUCUGAUACAGCAAUUCUGUGUGCACGAUGAAGUUUUCGGAAAGUAAAGUGCUUUCAGUUUGGAAGCGGUACCAACAGAAGAAGUGACGGCUAAAUCCGUGCCAGCAGCCGCGGUAAUAC
rnacentral:rRNA from 1 species